AUCGAGUUCACACAUAGAUUAUAAUUUUAUUAUAUAUGUUUAUCUAACCGUUCAGAUUAUUCUUGUAUAAAAAAAUAUAUAUCGAAAUCGAUGUUUGUGACUAUUGUGCGGUGUUCCUUUUUGAUCAUCGCGACAACGUAAACAAAAGUGUUCUUUUUGUUACUUACUCUUGACCAUAAACAUUGACUGUUUACAACACGGACUAACGCGACGUAACAAUAUUAGAUUUGUCACGAAACGGAAAUUCGCAAACCGAUUCUAAACAAUGGGCAAUAAACUGAACAUUGACAACAUCAUAUCGAACUUGUUGAAAGUGCGUGGUGCUAAAACCAUUAAAAAUGUGCAACUGUCUGGAGGUGAAAUUCGAGAUCUGUGCCUGGAAUCCAGAGAAAUAUUCUUGUCACAGCCUAUGCUUCUGGAACUCAAAGUGCCGUUGAAAAUAUGUGGGGAUAUUCAUGGUCAAUAUUCUGAUUUAUUACGAUUAUUUGAGUAUGGAAGUUUUCCGCCUGAUUCAAAUUACUUAUUUUUGGGUGAUUACGUGGACCGUGGCAAACAGUCUUUGGAAACGAUAUGCUUGUUGUUGGCAUACAAAAUUAAAUAUCCUGAAAAUGUUUUCCUCUUGCGUGGUAAUCAUGAAUGUGCUAGUAUUAAUAGAAUAUAUGGAUUUUAUGAUGAAUGCAAGCGUCGAUAUAAUACUAAACUUUGGAGAAUUUUUACCGAUUGUUUUAACUGUUUGCCUGUUGCAGCAAUAGUAGAGGAAAAGAUUUUCUGUUGUCAUGGUGGUCUAAGUCCAAAUUUGAAAUCAAUGGAACAAAUUAGACAAAUUACAAGACCUACAAACGUACCUGACCAAGGUAUAUUAUGUGAUUUGCUCUGGUCGGAUCCCGAUAAAUAUACAAUAGGCUGGAGUGAAAAUUAUGACAGGGGUGUAUCAUUUAAAUUUGGUGCUGCUAUUGUGACUGAUUUCUUACACAAACAUGAUUUUGACCUGAUAUGCAGAGCUCAUCAAGUUGUUGAGGAUGGUUACGAGUUCUUUGCUAAGCGGCAAUUAAUUACUUUAUUUUCAGCUCCAAAUUACUGCGGAGAGUUUGAUAAUGCUGCAGCAAUAAUGUCUGUUGAUGAAACACUGAUAUGCUCGUUUCGUAUUUUAAAGGUAUGAUCGUAACCAACACCUGUAAGAACAUAGGUAGAACGGUGUCUUAACAUCUCUCUUAGCCAAAUUUUAUUAAACCUCCGGCCAGCAAACGAAAAUACAUCUAGAAAGAUUGUCACUUGAAAGAAAAGAAAAAAAAUCAAUCA